rnacentral:sRNA from 1 species
CUUGCUGAUCCAAAUUCCUUUCAAGAAACAUCCUACAAAAAAUCCGACGGAGUUAAGAGGACCUUGAGCUCCCCAGCAAAAGUGUCGCCUCUGAAGGAGUUUCAAUCUGUUAAACAGCACGCUGCAGAGAAACAGGCUUGUAGCCAUGAUCAAAACUAUGUGAAACUGAAAAAGUCAAAAUCAUGUCCUAGUAUUAUUAAUUUAAACUUCAAUACAGUCAACAUCACUGGAAACGAUUCUAAAACUGCAAUUGACGGGACCCUCAACAUAAAUAAUGAAACAUGCGACUCACAGUUGUAAGAAGAAAAAUCGACAAUAAUGAUGUAUUUGUUUAAUUUUGUAAACUAUUGCCACAGUUUAUUAUUAAUUAGACCUACUAGUCAUUUUAUUUUAAUCUAAAAAAAAUCCCAGUUUAUAAUUCAUUAUAACGAUGUUACUUAAAUUAGUGUCCGCUAAUAUGCUCUGACAUCCAUACAUGAAAAUAAAAACACUAUUUGUGGCAACUAAAUAUAUCAGCUCUAGAUCAAGGCAUACAGAAGACAUAAUAAAUCAUUUUAAUAAGACAAAAUAAAAGCUAUAGGUCAGUAGCAUGCUGAACACAUAUAAAGAAAGGGGCACUAAAAGAUUUGACAUCAUUAGAAAAUAUUAUUUGAAGUAAUAUGGAACACUGUCGUUGAGUCCUAUUUACACUUCAACAAGGGAGAUAACUGAAAAGAUAAUGUUAUAUACAAUGUUAUUGACAAUGUUAUUCCCUUUGUUAAUAAUUAAAAAAAAGCAAAGUGAGGAUAUAUUUUUUUAAAAUCAUAUUUUUUAAGGGGGGAAGAGAGAUUAAACUGUCUCACUGAAAAUAAUAUUAUUUCCCAUUUCAGUGCAAUCUCCAUUUUGUAUAAUUUUAAAUAUGUAUAUUUUAGCACAGUAACGUACCUUAGUCUUUCUUCAGAACUAUAUUCACUAUUUGCCAACUCAAUAGUAGCACAGUCUAUAAUUCAUUCAAUUUUAUUACAAGUAUUUAAUAUUAGAUAUGAUGCAAUCAAGAAGAAAUAUUUUAUUUUUUAACAUUUUCAAAUGUAAAUACAUUUCCGUUUAAUUGUACACUAUUCAAGACAUAUAUUAUCUAUAUUAUAAAGUAGAAUGUGUGGAGU